rnacentral:rRNA from 1 species
GACGAACGCUGGCGGCGUGCCUAAUACAUGCAAGUAGGACGCAGUUGCGAACGGGUGAGUAACGCGUAGGUAACUACCUAUUAGAGGGGGCUAACUAUUGGAAACGAUAGCUAAUACCGCAUACUAGUAGAUGGACCUGCGUUGUAUUAGCUAGUAGGUAGGGUAAUGGCCUACCUAGGCAACGAUACAUAGCCGACCUGAGGGGGGGAUCGGGCAAACUGGGAAUGGGACACGGCCCAGAAUCCUACGGGAUGGAGCAGGAGGGAAUCUUCGGCAAUGGGGGGAACCCUGACCGAGCAACGCCGCGUGAGUGAAGAAGGUUUUCGGGUCGGAAAGCUCUGUUGUUAAGGAAGCGGUACUUAACCAGAAAGGGACGGCUAACUACGUGCCAGCAGCCGCGGUAAUUC